GAUCUAAAUACGAUAAAACAUCGUUAAUUAAGCUCAUUAACUCCAGGUGAACUUGAAGCAGACGACGUUGUUGUUGUCCUUAGUAACGAAUGUCAUAAAAGUAAUGAUAACAGCUUGCUAAUGUUUGAGAGAAACUGCGAUAUAGAUAUCUAUAAUGUUUAUAUAAUAUUUGAUUAUUAGAACUGAAGGUCAAUCGUGUGUCAUAUAUGAUUGGGACAUUGGAUUUUAUUGCUAAUAGUUUGUAUAGAAAUGGAGCUCCAACUAUCCUCUCACCUGUACGUUAUACUCAUUGGACUACUGUGCUUAAUUACAGAGUCUACAGCAAAAAAAUGUAAAAAUUUUGAAGAAGACUGUCUUGAUGUUGAACCGUCACCGGAAGUGCUGGGUAUAACUAUAGUUCUGUGUGCCGGAGCUUUACUCUCCAUUUUAUGUCCUAUUAUAUGCCUAAUAAAACCAUGUAAUACAAAAUGGAAGAGAAUAUUAAGUGAGAAAUUAGGCUGGGAUUUUCAAAGCCCGACUUCAAAUUCGGAAAUACGCAUUAAUCAAAUAGAACGAGGUGGAAAUCGAGAAGGUUCAAGGCAAGCUGUAGAGACGACAGCAAUAUCUAUUAUAGAUUUACCGCCAUCUUACGAUGAGGUCAUCAAGAACUCCAAUCUCUACAGUUUUCAUAAAACAACAGUGGCCCAAUCUGUGGACAACAAUAGCCCUACAGCUUUACCAUCAUGAUUGGAAUCAGGAACGUUAUUUACGUGUCUCUGUAGUAAUUGGUGACAAAAAUAAAAAACCUAAACAUUUGUGGAUUAAAAUUACCGUGUUUUAUAACGAAAAACGAAAACGUUUAGACAAUUAAGUAAUUUUACUACAUAAAGGUUUUGUUUAAUGUAAUCCGAAGUAUUAAAACAAUUACGUCAUCUGUCACACUUCCGGUUACAUACUUAACCAAUCGAUUUUAUUGGUUGAUGAGAUAUCACUUAUGGAUCAAUGAUAUAUAAUAUAUUACAUGACUUGCAAUACGAGUAAGCUAUAAACUCAGCAGUAUUGUUGAAAGUUGUUUAAAUCAGGGUCACGGGUACGAUCUAAAGGGACAAACAUUUAGGGAGCUUAUCUAUUGGACACUUUGUCCUUUGUGACAAAUUUGUAUACCUACACAGUGACCCACAGGUUGGCUAUAAACAUUCCAUUUUUAGAUAUAUAUGUAUUGUAAAGUUUUAUGUAAAGGAACACGAUUUAAUAUUUUGACAUGGCCAAUUGUCCAUCUAUUUAAAAAAAAUGAGCCCCUCUAAGGAAAACAUUAUCCAUAUGGAUUUCCUUUAUAUAAGAACAUCCAGCCCCAUCAAACAUAACCACCGUAUAGAGCCCCGCUAAGGAAAACAUUAUCCAGAUUUAUUUCCUUUAUAUACGAACACCCAGUCCCACCAAACAUAACCACCGUAUAUUUAUUCCAUUUAUUGUUAUUUUAUAGUUUUUAGUUCAUACACGUAUUUCAUUUUUUCAUAACUUAAUAUUUAUUUCCAGACAACUAUACUCUUGUGACACUCGAGACUAUGGUCUCGUUAUGGGGCAAACAGAGGCGGAUCCAGGAAUUUUUACAGCAGGGGGUUUGCCAGGUCCCCUUUAAGGAAAUUUGACAGUUGACAAUGCAUGAUGCUAUCACAUCGUCUCCAAAUUACGUAGGCAUACAUACACACUGAGCUUUUUAAAGAAAGAAAUCCAACCCCCGUUUGACGUCAAUUUUUAUUUUAAAUUAAUAGGAUUACAUUGUGAUUUAGCUUAUAUGAUGCAAAGUAUUAAUUGUGAUAUCACACAUAACUAUAUCAUCAUCUCGCGCUUUGAAUGCCCAUCCCAUCCAACCAUCUGAUGAUAAAGGAUAAAGCUCUGGAUCCGCCCCUGGCAAAGUUUAAAUAAACGCUGGUCGUUUUAUCUUGUUUACGUUAUAUUUAUUAAUUAUAUUUUUUUUGUAUUAUUAUAACCACCGGCAUUAACUCGGACAUACUACUCCAUUUUUAUGUACAUAAAAUAAUUUUUUAAACUGA